rnacentral:rRNA from 1 species
UACGUAGGGUGCAAGCGUUAAUCGGAAUUACUGGGCGUAAAGCGUGCGCAGGCGGUUGUGCAAGACAGAUGUGAAAUCCCCGGGCUCAACCUGGGAAUUGCAUUUGUGACUGCACGGCUAGAGUGUGUCAGAGGGGGGUAGAAUUCCACGUGUGAGCAGUGAAAUGCGUAGAGAUGUGGAGGAAUACCGAUGGGCGAAGGCAG